rnacentral:rRNA from 1 species
UAGAGAGUUUCGAGUCCUGGCGUCAGGAUGAACGACUGGCGGCGUGCUUAACACAUGCAAGUCGAGCGAAGUCGGAAAGUGGAUUCUUCGGAAAGAAGCUUUGCUGACUUAGCGGCGGACGGGUGAGUAACGCGUGGGUAACUGCUCAUACAGGGGGAUAACAGUUAGAAAUGACUGCUAAUACCGCAUAAGCGCACGGGACUGCAUGGUCCAGUGUGAAAAACCGAGGUGGUAUGAGAUGGACCCGCGUCUGAUUAGCUGGUUGGCGGGGUAACGGCCCACCAAGGCGACGAUCAGUAGCCGACCUGAGAGGGUGGCCGGCCACAUUGGGGACUGAGACACGGCCCAAACUCCUACGGGAGGCAGCAGUGGGGAAUAUUGCACAAUGGGGGAAACCCUGAUGCAGCAACGCCGCGUGAGUGAAGAAGUAUUUCGGUAUGUAAAGCUCUAUCAGCAGGGAAGAGAAUGACGGUACCUGACUAAGAAGCCCCGGCUAACUACGUG